rnacentral:rRNA from 1 species
AACGAACGCUGGCGGCAUGCCUAACACAUGCAAGUCGAACGAGCCCUUCGGGUCUAGUGGCGCACGGGUGCGUAACGCGUGGGAACCUGCAUUUAGGUUCGGAAUAACUCAGAGACAUUUGAGAUAAUACCGGAUGAUGUCUUCGGACCAAAGAUUUAUCGCCUUUAGAUGGGCCCUCGUUGCAUUAGCUAGUUGGUGGGGUAAAGGCCUACCAAGGCGACGAUCCAUAGCUGGUCUGAGAGGAUGAUCAGCCACACUGGGACUGAGACGCGGCCCAGACUCCUACGGGAGGCAGCAGUGGGGAAUAUUGGACAAUGGGCGAAAUGCUGAUGCAGCAAUGCCGCGUGAGUGAUGAAGGCCUUAGGGUUGUAAAGUGCUUUUACCCAUGAUGAUAAUGACAGUAUCGAGAGAAUAAGCCCCGGCUAACUCCGUG